UUUAAUUGGAUGCAACGCGAAGAACCUUACCUGGCCUUGACAUCCCAAGGAUCUCCUGGAAACAGGAGAGUGCUUUCAUUAGAGAGAACUUGGUGACAGGUGCUGCAUGGCUGUCGUCAGCUCGUGUCGUGAGAUGUUGGGUUAAGUCCCGCAACGAGCGCAACCCUCGCUUUUAGUUGCCAGCAGCUCGGCUGGGCACUCUAAAAGGACUGCCGGUGUCAAACCGGAGGAAGGUGGGGAUGACGUCAAGUCCUCAUGGCCUUUAUGGCCAGGGCUACACACGUACUACAAUGGCCGGUACAAAGGGCAGCGAACUAGUGAUAGUAAGCGAAUCCCGAAAAGCCGGUCUCAGUCCGGAUUGGAGUCUGCAACUCGACUCCAUGAAGUUGGAAUCGCUAGUAAUCGUGGAUCAGCAUGCCACGGUGAAUACGUUCCCGGGCCUUGUACACACCGCCCGUCACACCACGGGAGUUGGUUGUUCCAGAAGCAGU
rnacentral:rRNA from 1 species